AAGAUUUAAAAAAAUAUUUUAGCUGCUUCCAAACCGGUAAAAAGUCUUCCAACAUCCAAACCGACACCCACCAGAUCCCCUUCUACAAAGCCUUCGUCCUCUCUGAGCCCAGCAGCGGGGAGAGUACCCAAGUGGAACCCACCAGCUCAGAUUGGUAAAAGCGCCUCAUCGUCACACAGUCCACUGGUGAAGUCACCCAGCGAGGGGCUGCGACUUGGACUGUCCCGCCUAGUCCGAGUCAACCGCUCCAUCCCAGCGUUGCAUCUCACUAACCCAGGGGUCGGCAACCCAAAAUGUUGAAAGAGCCAAAUUGGAC